UACGAGGGGGCGAGCGUUGUUCGGAAUUAUUGGGCGUAAGGGCGCGUAGGCGGUGCGGUAAGUCACCUGUGAAACCUCUGGGCUUAACUCAGAGCCUGCAGGCGAAACUGCCGUGCUGGAGUGUGGGAGAGGUGCGUGGAAUUCCCGGUGUAGCGGUGAAAUCGCGUAGAUAUCGGGAGGAACACCUGUGGCGAAAGCGGCGCACUGGACCAUAACUGACGCUGAGGCGCGAAAGCUAGGGGAGCAAACAGG
rnacentral:rRNA from 1 species